UGAGGCGUAGAUCAAUUGGUAGAUCAGCAGACUCUGGAUCUGUUGGUUGAAGGUUCGAGUCCUUCCGCCUCAGCCA
rnacentral:tRNA from 1 species